rnacentral:rRNA from 1 species
GAUGAACGCUGGCGGCGUGCCUAAUACAUGCAAGUCGAGCGAACGGACGAGAAGCUUGCUUCUCUGAUGUUAGCGGCGGACGGGUGAGUAACACGUGGAUAACCUACCUAUAAGACUGGGAUAACUUCGGGAAACCGGAGCUAAUACCGGAUGAUAUUUUGAACCGCAUGGUUCAAAAGUGAAAGACGGUCUUGCUGUCACUUAUAGAUGGAUCCGCGCUGCAUUAGCUAGUUGGUAAGGUAACGGCUUACCAAGGCAACGAUGCAUAGCCGACCUGAGAGGAAGAUCAGCGACACUGGGACUGAGACACGGCCCAGACUCCUACGGGAGGCAGCAGUGGGGAAUAUUGGACAAUGGGCGAAAGCCUGAUCCAGCAAUGCGGCGUGAGUGAUGAAGGCCUUAGGGUUGUAAAGCUCUUUUACCCGGGAUGAUAAUGACAGUACCGGGAGAAUAAGCUCCGGCUAACUCCGUG